rnacentral:rRNA from 1 species
CCUACGGGUGUCUGCAGUGGGGAAUAUUGGACAAUGGGCGAAAGCCUGAUCCAGCCAUGCCGCGUGUGUGAAGAAGGCCUUCGGGUUGUAAAGCACUUUCAGUGGGGAAGAAAGCCUUGGGGCUAAUACCCUCGAGGAAGGACAUCACCCACAGAAGAAGCACCGGCUAACUCCGUGCCAGCAGCCGCGGUAAUACGGAGGGUGCGAGCGUUAAUCGGAAUUACUGGGCGUAAAGCGCGCGUAGGCGGUCUGAUAAGCCGGUUGUGAAAGCCCCGGGCUCAACCUGGGAACGGCAUCCGGAACUGUCAGGCUAGAGUGCAGGAGAGGAAGGUAGAAUUCCCGGUGUAGCGGUGAAAUGCGUAGAGAUCGGGAGGAAUACCAGUGGCGAAGGCGGCCUUCUGGACUGACACUGACGCUGAGGUGCGAAAGCGUGGGUAGCAAACAGGAUUAGAUACCCUGGUAGUC